UGCAAAAUGAGAUUCUACUUCUGGUAUUGAAGUUCUUGAUGCUGUUUAAUCUCCACCAGCUCCUGUAGCUGUUGCUGGGGGCCUGGAAAGCAGGGAGUGAAAUGCAGGGAUUGGCGUGCAGGAGGAGAGCUUCACCUGCAGACAGCAUUCACAGGGAAACACGGACCAGCCCAGUGUUUUAGGCAGGCACCUGCAGUGAGAGAUCUUUGCUCCCAGAACAGCUAUGUCAGCAAAGGUAGGGGGUGAAACACUCACAAAGAGCAAGGUUGGGAAUACAUCUGGAUUUUGCUUAUGGCACUAGAAGGAUUCUCUCAUUCUUGAGUCAAAAACUCAACCAGGUUGCUGUAACAAAGUAGUUCUUCACCCUGGUGCUGUUGACAGGUUCCAUCCUUCAGGAGGGGGGGUCACAGUCCCCAUGGAUGGCUCCCCACUCAGGCUGGGAACCUGCUGCUGUGCCCAGGGCAGAGCAGAGCCAGGGAAAGCUGCUCCAGGUACCAGCAGCCCUGUGAGCACAGAGCUACAGCCAUCCCUGCCUCCCAGACAAUCCUGUCUCACCCCUUCCUGGAUUGCUGCUUGCCUGCAGGAGAUGAGCAGAACAAUAAAGUUUGGAUACUGUUCAAUACUGUACAGGAGGGUCUGAGCAUUGGUUUGUGCUCAUCCAGGACAGGGGGUCACCUCACAGUCCAGGAAAAUAAACGGAAUUUUUCCUGACAGUGAGGAGAUUGGGGGGGUGUUUAUAUCUUUACAUAAGUAUAUAUCUGUUUAUAUGUAUUUUUAUGUGUAUUUGUAUAGGUGUAACUAACCUGUGCCUCUGCCAGUAUCAUGGACUGGUUUGGGUUAGAGGGGGUCCGGGCUGGGUGGGCCAGGCACUGGGCUGGGUGUCCCACUAGGUUUUGGGGUUUUUUUGGGAAAUGUGAGAGUCGGAAGUAAACAGCAGCUGGGUGUCCCCCGGGAACCCCGCUGAGCCAGCAAGGCACUGAAGGGCUCUGGAGUGGACCAGAGCUGUGAGGGCAGGGCUGGGGUUCCCCAUCCCAUCCCUGGUGCUGCCCAGGCUCCCUGCUCUGAUCCCACUCCUGGGGCUCUCUGGCAUCGCAGAAUGAGGGCACCGAGGGGAGGCUUCACCUCAGCCCUCACAGAGACGGGCACCUGCUUUAUCCAUGUAUUUAUUUCUUUAUUUUAGGUGGGUAAAGCACCUUAUUCCCGUUCCCUGUCAGUAGCCCCAGGGCACCAGCGGUGCCACCCGAUCCCACCGCCGACUUCCCCGCGUUGUCCCCCCCCUCCCAGGCCAAACCCAGUGCUUGGGCUGGGGGAGAAGAUGCCUUUCCACGCGCGGGGGGAACCCAGAACAGGACAGAGAGCGGAGCCGGGGAUGUCCGGGCGCACCCAGACCCGCGUGUUGCUGCCGCGCCGGCACCGCGGGGCUGGCAGGAUUUCAGCUCCCCACCCCCUGGGGUUUGUUUCCCUUUACCCCACACCCUGGGGUUUGUUUCCCUUUACCCCACACCCUGGGGUUUGUUUCCCUUUACCCCACACCCCCUGGGUUUUUCCCUUUACAGUUCUCCCGCUCGGCACACGAUGCCGGGGACGCGGCCGGUGCGGGCUGAGCCCCGCGGAGUCCCCGCUGCCCGCUCCGCCCAACAACCAUCGCUAAAGGACAUUUACUCGGGAAGCGGCGGAGGAGCGGCG